AGUUUAAGUUAUCUGGUUUCUUUAAAAGUUUGUAGAGAGAUUAUUUAAAACACCCAGAAGGAUUUCGUAGUAUAAAUCCUUGGUCCCCACCACCACCUACUCUCUUUAACCAAAAUUCCAAUCUGAAUAAAAGAUUAUAAUUGUUUAAUCCGAUAACAAAGAGUAAUCAAAGAGCACAUGAUUGUGUGUUUUUGGCAUUAGUCUCUUUCACUUUUUGCUUGCUUCUCUCCCAUGGAGAAUCAUCACAAUUGAGGACUAUGAAAAUAAAGCUAAUGAGAACAUUGAAGAAUAUUAUGCAAUGAUGGGAUUUGAUAAUAAUUUUCCUUCAUAAGCAUUAUCCCUGGUCAACUGUGGCAGGUCUUGAGCAUGAGCCGUCUUGGUGGAGCCGGUGCUGUCGCACCACUAGUCACUGAAAUGCCAUUGUCAUCAUCAAUUGAGGUUAGACUAAAGAGAGAGAUAGACUUAAAAGCGAGAACUAAAGUAGAGAACUUUGGUAAUAGGUAGGUUUGAUCACUUACUGGUUUUAACAUUUCUUCAGGAUGAGACGCAGGCCGUGUGGGAGAAAUGGUCAAACGAUGGGACAGAGCGGCAAGUGGCUAAGCUGAUGGAAGAAAACG
rnacentral:lncRNA from 1 species